UACGGAGGAGGCAAGCGUUAUCCGGAAUUAUUGGGCGUAAAGCGUCCGCAGGUGGCACUUCAAGUCUGUCGUCAAAGACUGGGGCUUAACCCUGGAAAGGCGGUGGAAACUGAAGCUCUAGAGUGCGGUAGGGGUAGAGGGAAUUCCCGGUGUAGCGGUGAAAUGCGUAGAGAUCGGGAAGAACAUCGGUGGCGAAAGCGCUCUACUGGACCGCAACUGACACUCAGGGACGAAAGCUAGGGGAGCGAAUGGG
rnacentral:rRNA from 1 species